GCCAGGUGUGGUGGCUCACGCCUGUAAUCCCAGCGCUUUGGGAGGCGGAGGCGGGUGGAUCACCUGAGGUCAGGAGUUCGAGACCAGCCUGGCCAACAUGGUGAAACCCCGUCUCUA
rnacentral:SRP_RNA from 1 species